AUUGAACGCUGGCGGCAUGCUUUACACAUGCAAGUCGAACGGUAACAGGCCUUCGGGUGCUGACGAGUGGCGAACGGGCGAGUAAUGCAUCGGAACGUACCCAGAGGUGGGGGAUAACGCAGCGAAAGCUGUGCUAAUACCGCAUGUGAUCUGAGGAUGAAAGCGGGGGACCGAGCAGCAAUGUUUGGCCUCGCGCCUUUGGAGCGGCCGAUGUCGGAUUAGCUAGUUGGUGGGGUAAAGGCCUACCAAGGCGACGAUCCGUAGCUGGUCUGAGAGGACGGCCACCCACACUGGGACUGGGACACGGCCCAGACUCCUACGGGAGGCAGCAGUGGGGAAUUUUGGACAAUGGGCGCGAGCCUGAUCCAGCAAUGCCGCGUGCGGGAAGAAGGCCUUCGGGUUGUAAACCGCUUUUGGCAGGAACGAAACGGUGUCCGCUAAUACCGGGCGCUAAUGACGGUACCUGCAGAAUAAGCACCGGCUAACUACGUG
rnacentral:rRNA from 1 species